rnacentral:tRNA from 1 species
GCCGGGGUAGCUCAGUUGGUAGAGCGUCCGGCUGUUAACCGGAAGGUCGCCGGUUCAAAUCCGGCCCCCGGCG